rnacentral:lncRNA from 1 species
CUACAUAAAUGGGCUGGUGGGUUCCUGGUUGUUCCUGUGGCCACCAGUGCAGCUGAGGGACCCAUCUGAGUGACAGGUUCUUCUCUCAACUGUUUGAGUUUGAAAAGCAAAGACAGCCAAGAGGAAAUUGUUUUGGAGAGAAGUGAUAGCCAACCUGGGAUAGCAGUCAAGGAAAUUUCAGUGGUGACACAAUUCAGUUACAAGGAGCAGGGGCAGUAGGCUCGAUGUGAAGUCCACAGAAGUGAAGGGAUAAACCCUUAUCAGCUCUGGCCCAGCCUCUGACACAGCCCUCAGAGCCACUCAGGCUGAAAGAGGUAAACUGCUACAAGAUCUUCAAGGAACAAAGACUGAUUAAGGAUAAUCUUGUAGAAAAUGUUACCUUUUUUUGGAUUAAUUUAACAUGGGAAAUACUGUUCUGCAGUGAG